rnacentral:rRNA from 1 species
CUACGGGACGCUGCAGUGGGGAAUAUUGCACAAUGGGCGCAAGCCUGAUGCAGCCAUGCUGCGUGUAUGAAGAAGGCCUUCGGGUUGUAAAGUACUUUCAGCGGGGAGGAAGGGAGUAAAGUUAAUACCUUUGCUCAUUGACGUUACCCGCAGAAGAAGCACCGGCUAACUCCGUGCCAGCAGCCGCGGUAAUACGGAGGGUGCAAGCGUUAAUCGGAAUUACUGGGCGUAAAGCGCACGCAGGCGGUUUGUUAAGUCAGAUGUGAAAUCCCCGGGCUCAACCUGGGAACUACAUCUGAUACUGGCAAGCUUGAGUCUCGUAGAGGGGGGUAGAAUUCCAGGUGUAGCGGUGAAAUGCGUAGAGAUCUGGAGGAAUACCGGUGGCGAAGGCGGCCCCCUGGACGAAGACUGACGCUCAGGUGCGAAAGCGUGGGGAGCAAACAGGAUUAGAUACCCGUGUAGUC